UGUCUGGGGGGUUGGCCGCAGUCCUCUGGAACCAGUGGGAGUCUGGACGGAAUUCUGCUCUAGACCAGCCCCAGGGCACGAGGAGGGGCGAAGACCUCGUCCGAGCCUCACUGAGGGCUGGAAACUUGACCUGGUACCUAAAGGUUGCAUUUGGAAUCGGCCUGGGGGCGAGCGGUCUGCUGUCUCAGCACCUCUUCUACAGCGACCACGACCACUCGGAGGAUUGCGUCUUCUCCUGGGAGCCCUCCCGUACGUCCCACUGUGGACCACAGGACCCUCUGUCCCCUUCUGGGACUCUUCUCUUCUCCCCCUGCUUGGUGGCCACGAAUUGACCUGCCUGAGAAUUCCAUAGGCUCCAACUCUUCCUUCACACCCACCCUUCACUCAAAUCAAAAUGCAGGCAUGACGCCCAUCAAAGGACAACUGGAAAUACUGGUGUGGAGCUACUGGGGAUUGAACCCAGGACCUCAUGCAUGCUAAGUAUGCGCUCUACCAUUUGAACUAUCCCUCCUCCUUUAUUUAAAUUUUUCAGGUGGAUUUACUUAUUUUAAUUUUAGAUGGAUAGAAGACUUUUAAGUAUAAUAGUACAGCAGAGUAAGAUUCUAUGAGGGAAGUAGAAAGGACAUGAAGUUCAAAUGUGAAAAAGGAAUCAUGUAG